rnacentral:rRNA from 1 species
AUUGAACGCUGGCGGCAUGCCUUACACAUGCAAGUCGAACGGUAACAGGUUAAGCUGACGAGUGGCGAACGGGUGAGUAAUGUAUCGGAACGUGCCCAGUUGUGGGGGAUAACUGCUCGAAAGAGCAGCUAAUACCGCAUACGACCUGAGGGUGAAAGCGGGGGAUCGCAAGACCUCGCGCAAUUGGAGCGGCCGAUAUCAGAUUAGGUAGUUGGUGGGGUAAAGGCUCACCAAGCCGACGAUCUGUAGCUGGUCUGAGAGGACGACCAGCCACACUGGGACUGAGACACGGCCCAGACUCCUACGGGAGGCAGCAGUGGGGAAUUUUGGACAAUGGACGCAAGUCUGAUCCAGUCAUGCCGCGUGCGGGAAGAAGGCCUUCGGGUUGUAAACCGCUUUUGUCAGGGAAGAAACGCUCUGGGUUAAUACCCUGGGGUAAUGACGGUACCUGAAGAAUAAGCACCGGCUAACUACGUGCCAGCAGCCGCAGUAAGAC